GGACGUUUAGCUCAGUUGGUUAGAGCAGCAGACUCAUAAUCUGCGGGUCCACGGUUCGAGCCCGUGAACGUCCA
rnacentral:tRNA from 1 species